UUACGUUAGAGAUCGAUGUCCAGCCGUC
rnacentral:sRNA from 1 species